rnacentral:rRNA from 1 species
GAUGAACGCUAGCUACAGGCUUAACACAUGCAAGUCGAGGGGUAGCAGGGUAGCAAUACCGCUGACGACCGGCGCACGGGUGAGUAACACGUAUCCAACCUUCCCAUAACUCGGGGAUAGCCUUUCGAAAGAAAUAUUACUACCCGAUAGUACUUAUAUAGGGCAUCCUACAUCAGUUAAAGAUUUAUUGGUUAUGGAUGGGGAUGCGUUCGAUUAGAUAGUUGGUGAGGUAACGGCUCACCAAGUCUUCGAUGGAUAGGGGUUCUGAGAGGAAGGUCCCCCACAUUGGUACCGAGACACGGACCAAACUCCUACGGGAGGCAGCAGUGAGGAAUAUUGGUCAAUGGGCGAGAGCCUGAACCAGCCAAGUAGCGUGAAGGAUGAAGGUCCUAUGGAUUGUAAACUUCUUUUAUAGUAGAAUAAAGUGAUCCACGUGUGGAUUUUUGUAUGUAUACUAUGAAUAAGGAUCGGCUAACUCCGUGCCAGCCGCCGCGGUAA